rnacentral:rRNA from 1 species
UACGUAGGGGGCAAGCGUUGUCCGGAAUCAUUGGGCGUAAAGCGCGUGUAGGCGGCUCGGUAAGUCUGCUGUGAAAGUCCAGGGCUCAACCCUGGGAUGCCGGUGGAUACUGUCGAGCUCGAGUCCGGAAGAGGCGAGUGGAAUUCCUGGUGUAGCGGUGAAAUGCGCAGAUAUCAGGAGGAACACCAGCAGCGAAGGCGGCGCUCUGGGCUGGAACUGACGCUGAGGAGCGAAAGCGUGGGUAGCAAACAGG